rnacentral:rRNA from 1 species
UUUUAAUAUAAAAAUAAAAAUUUAAUUAAUUUUUUUUAUUUAAAGUAUUAAUUUUGAUAACUUGUUUUUGUAAAUAAAAAAUUAUAUUAAUGGUAAUGAAAAUGAGAAUAAAAAUAAAAAUUUUGAAGUAGAGAUAAAUCUUAUACCUUUUGUAUCAGGGUUAAUUAAAAUUAAAAAAUUUAUGAAUUUUAAUCUCGAAAAUUAAGAAUUUAAUUUCAUAUAUUAGUUAAUGUAGUAAUAUUAUUAAAAAUAUGUAGUUAUUGGUGAAAUGCCUUAGAAUUAAUUGAUAUCUAGUUUUUUUUGAAUUAAAUUUAAUUUAGGUGAUUUAGGUAAUAAUAAUAAAUAAUUUUUAUUUAUGGGUUUAAUUGCAAAAAUAUUGGGGGAUAAACUCUAAUAUUUAUUAAAAAAAAAUUAAAUAAGGGUAUUAAUACUAAAAAUAAAAUUUUUUAUGUAUUUUAAGUUUUUUGUAAAUUAUUGAAUAAUGAAUAAUAAUUUAAUUAGUUUUAAUUGAAGUAAAGAAAUAUUUAGUUUAAUAGAGUAAUUAAAAUAAUAAUGAUUAAAUUAGUAAAAUAAAAUAUUUUAAAAAAUUAUUAAUUUUAAAGAAUUUUUUAAAAUAAUUCGGCAUAUUUUAGGUUUACCUGUUUAAUAAAAACAUGUCUUUAAGAUAAAAAUUUAAAGUCUGAUCUGCUCAAUGAUAAAAUUAAAUAGCUGCAGAAUUUUGACUGUACUAAGGUAGCAUAAUAAAUUGUUUAUUAAUUGUGAACUUGAAUGAAUGAUUAAAUAAAAUCUAAACUGUUUCUAAAAAAAAUAAUUAAAUUUAAUUUUUAAGUUAAAAAGCUUAAAUAGAUGUGUGGGACGAGAAGACCCUAUAGAUUUUUAUAUUAAUAUAAUUAGAGUAUUGCUAAUUGAAAGGUUGAAUUAUAUUAAUAUUUUGAUGGGGCCUCAAAGAAAUAAAAUAAUUUUUUUAAAUUUUAAUAACUAAAAUGAUUGAGUAAGUGAAUAAAUAUAAAUAUUAAAAAUAAAAAUACCUUAGGGAUAACAGCAUAAUAAUUUUUUUAAGUUCAUAUUUUAAAAAUUGAUUGUGACCUCGAUGUUGAAUUAUGAUUUAAUUUAAUAGAAGAAUAUUAAAAUUUUAGUCUGUUCGACUAUUAAAAUCAUACAUGAUUUGAGUUGAAAUCGGUGUAAACUAGAUUGGAUUCUAUCUACAAAAUUUAAAUAAAGUCUUUUGUACGAAAGGACUAAGAUUUUUAAAUAGUUUAAAAGAUUUGAUUAAUUUAAUUGAAUAAUAGAAA